CCGGUGUUUCUGUUUCUUUUCCGUGGUCCACAUUUAAAACUUAACGAGACGUGCUUAAGAAGUACAAAUAUUCACGAUAUUCACAAAGAGCAAUGCAUAAUCAAUACCAUUCUGAAAAAUUAAAUUCCAUGAUUAACAAUUGACCAAAAUCAAAUGGCUGACCGAUGGGUCUGUGUUGACGAAAAACUACUAAAACAGCAUAUCUCUCCCGACAAACAACGGUCCAUGCGGGCAACAGAGCAUCGACUCGCCAAUGACUCAAUUACAUCAAGGGGCUAUAAAACGGAUGAUGUGAAAAAAAGAUUAGGCAAGUGGCAAUAUGGCGUUCUCUGCUGGAAAGGGUCAUAAAUACUACGUUUGGUACAUGGGGUGGAAAGAAUGUAGAUCUCUUCGUGGUCAGGAUGAUAUCAUCCCCGUUGCUAAAGCAUUAGUGUCGAGACGAAGUACAAAUGAUGUGCCAACGUUAACUUUAGAAUUUGCCAAAAAGGAACUAAAAAUCACCCAGGAGAAGGAAAAACGGAAAGGGAAGAUUGAAAAGAUAAAAUACCCUUCAAUUCCGACAAAGGAUAUAACGUUUUCGUGUAAGGUUUACGACGAUGUCGUUGGUUGUGUGUACCUGGGAUUUAACCCAAAGACACAAUGUGCAGUACAUGUACAUGUGUAUAGAUUUGAUUCUGGCGCAACUGCAGAUAGUUUCUUAAGAGACACACGUGCGAUUUUUGAAUCAUCGGCUAACCGAGAACGCUUGAGAAAGGUUGAGGAAGAGUUAUUAGCAAGUGGGCAAAUAGACGCAACACGUUUGCGACGACGGGAGCAAGCUUCGGUUCCGAUUGUUCCAAAAUCAUACAUGGAAAAUGAGCCUCUAUCUAGAGGUGAGUACCGACGGGAAAUACGUCAUUCUCGGCAAAGUUCGGGUUCAAACGAAGACCAGGAUCGUCGUUCUGACAGCAUAGGAGCUGAAACUGAACAGUAUCCCGACGAGAAAGACCUAGCAUUUCUCUCUGUAAAUGAUGAACUAAGAGCUAAAUUGAAGUUGGACACCGCGCCAAUACUACUACCCCCAAAAGACUAUGACACGGUGCGGCGGAAACAUGGCGAUCUUGAAGGCAUAGAAGAAAGGAAAAGUCAGCAAAAACCGAUAGUUGGAGAUAGAGGAGCACUGUUUAGCGAAGAUUAUCCGCAAAGGUCAAACCAACAACAUGCAUAUGCGGGUAACAUUAAAUUCACUUCUCCCAAACUUGCGAUCAAAAAAAGAGAUAGUUUAGAAAGUGGACAAGACUCUGGAAUAGGUGGUCCUAAUGAAAUACCAUCGCCUUCCAGCGACCAUUCCAAUCAAGGUUUUCCAGAUCGUGAUCUUGGACAAGAAAUCCGAUACGACGAUAAUGAAAAAGAGCCAGAUUUGAAAAUGGUUACACCCGUUUGGAAGAAACCAGACAUGUACCGAUACCCAACUGCACAAUCGUCCCUGCAGGUAACCACGGGAGCUCAUGUCCAAGACGAAACUCCAGCGUCGCCCUCACGUAGAGGUUCGCAAGGGUCUUCUGUCCAUUCUGCUCAAGGCUCUCACUACAGCGGUGGUAAACCUGCGUCGCGCAAUGCGAGUUUUAAAAGUGAUACAAGCGGCGAAUAUGUUCGCCAUGGUUACUCCACCCCGAGGAAUGCACCUGCAAGAAACAGUGCAACAUUCGGCGUCGGUGAUCCAGCAACAGGUGGGAAUAUUCAGGUAAAUAAUUCCAAAAGACGCUCGAGUAAUUCUAGUGGACAUAGCGGUGAGAAUUCAAUAACACAUUACUCGAACCAUGACAACAACGAAAGACCUCAUAACCGAUCUUUGUCGGAACAACACGAUUAUAGAUAUGUUCAAACGAAGGCAUCAGCAGAAAUGCCGGAUCAGCGUUACCUGGUUGCUAAGGAUCGACGAUCUGCAACUGGGGAAAAACCAGAUCCUAGAUAUCUGGAGCCUAAUAGAAAACACAGUAGCGAUGCAGGGAUAUAUUCCUACUAUAAAUAGAGGGCACAUCCACAUGCAUAUAGUUUUUUCUCAAUAUAUAUUAGUUAAGCAAGCUUAAGCUUACAUAUAACAUGCAUUUAUGUCAAUCGCCCGGAGGCAUUACAGACAUAAUGAAUAAGUAUAAAAUAUUAAGCUUAGACAAAAUAACAGAUGGAAUGAAAUGAAAAUGGGAUGAGUAAAAUUUUGGUUUAGACAGAUUGGUCCAAUAAGGCAACAAAGCAUUAAAAUGCAAACUGUCGCCACCUGCCAUUUGUUACAGACGCCAACCGCCGAACACUAACCGCCCACAAAAAGAGUUGGGAGACGCCACUUCUGAUGGUGAC
rnacentral:misc_RNA from 1 species